rnacentral:rRNA from 1 species
GACGAACUGCCCAAACGUUGUUCGGAAUCACUGGGCUUAAAGGGUGCGUAGGUGGGUUGGUAAGUCAGUGGUGAAAUCUCCAGGCUUAACUUGGAAACUGCCAUUGAUACUAUCAAUCUUGAAUACCGUGGAGGUCAGCGGAAUAUGUCAUGUAGCGGUGAAAUGCUUAGAUAUGACAUAGAACACCAAUUGCGAAGGCAGCUGGCUACGCGGAUAUUGACACUGAUGCACGAAAGCGUGGGGAUCAAACAGGG